UCAGACAUGGUGUAGCGGGAACACAGCCUCUUCAAGUAAAUCGGUAAUUUUCGUUUGCAGAGGCAACCCAGGGUUCGAAUCUCUGUGUUUGAA